GCGUGCUUAACACAUGCAAGUCGAACGAUGAAGCUGGAGCUUGCUCUGGUGGAUUAGUGGCGAACGGGUGAGUAACACGUGAGUAACCUGCCCUUGACUCUGGGAUAAGCGUUGGAAACGACGUCUAAUACCGGAUACGAGCUUCAGCCGCAUGGCUAGGAGUUGGAAAGAAUUUCGGUCAAGGAUGGACUCGCGGCCUAUCAGCUAGUUGGUGAGGUAAUGGCUCACCAAGGCGACGACGGGUAGCCGGCCUGAGAGGGUGACCGGCCACACUGGGACUGAGACACGGCCCAGACUCCUACGGGAGGCAGCAGUGGGGAAUAUUGCACAAUGGGCGCAAGCCUGAUGCAGCAACGCCGCGUGAGGGACGACGGCCUUCGGGUUGUAAACCUCUUUUAGCAGGGAAGAAGCGAAAGUGACGGUACCUGCAGAAAAAGCACCGGCUAACUACGUGCCAGCCGCCGCGGUAAUUC
rnacentral:rRNA from 2 species